ACCUCGUUCGAUCCCCCACCCCCCACGCACGAACCCACCAUCUAAACCAGCGAAAAAAAGAGAAAAUCCCGCACGUCUCCACACAACCACGAUCUCCCUCGAACCCGAAACCACCCCAUCAUCCUCACUCUCCCGUAGCAGCGAUCUCACGAAACCAGAAGUUCUCGUCUCCAAACCUGCUCACGAAGGAGAACCAUCCGGCCUGGAGCAGCGGCGCCCCCUCCCGCGACCACCCGCGUGCCUUCGUCCCCUCACCAUGUUUUUCAGGAUAGAGAAAAGAUGUAGGAGAAAUUAUAUUCUUUCUCACCAGCAAUUCAGGCGACAAACAUCCCUACGCAAGUACGCAACCCUGCCGCCCUACGUAGCCCGUGCCAUGGGUCCGCCGCGCCUUCAUCUUAGACGAGCCGCCGGGAGAUGGGAAGCGGGCCAGUCCUUUGAUAAGGAGGUGUCACCGCAGGUCCUAUCUGCCACUUCGCUUCGCCCAGGCACCCGCCGACUCGGCUGACCCGUCGUUAACCAGUGCCGGAGGUGUUCGAGGCCCGGGCCUUCGCGUGGAGCACGUCAACGGCCCUCUUGCCGUUGAGGCCUUCCGAGACCGAUUCCACAGUGCCACUUGCUUCGGCUGGAUCAGGGGUCCAAGUACAACUACCAGUUCAUGUGCCCCUGCUAACUGUCAUGUUUUUCAGGAUAGAGAAAAGGUAUGAGCAUGGACCUCUAAUAUUUUUCUAUACAUUUGACAAUUUGAUUCUUUCUCAAAAAAGAAAGUAAAUCCAUCAUUGCUAAUAUGUAGAUGUAGGAGAAAUUAUAUUUUUUUCAGUUUUGUAACUACUGACAGAGUUUGCGUUCUUUGUAGCAGAAAUUUGAUAGCCUUGUUUAUUUUGUUACGCCAUUCUCUACAUAUAGUCUUCUUGUUGUGAUGGAUAGGCCGCGGUGACAGCAAUCGGAGGAGAGUUUGGCGGAUGGGGUGGAUAACCGACGAGGUUACACGGACGACUAUAGCAGUACAUCAGACUUAGCUUCAUAUUUCGGGCUGACAAUAAUUUCUUCUUUAUGUUUUGGUUUUUCUCAGUAUCCCAUGUGUUAGUUCUGCAUGUAUUUUAUUUGUUUACUGAAACUAGGAGCAGUAGUACAUCAGAGUAGUUACUGAAAAUACUCCUACUACAGGAGGUAUUGCAUAUGGUUUUGGCAGAGAAUGCAACUUGUUUUCUGAUUUUUAUUUGAUAUCCGUAUUUGUGUGUGCUGUAACAAUGAUUCAAUACCAAGGUCAGGAUAAGGUGGAAGACUGUGUAAGCUCCACAAUGGAGAAACUUUUGGUAACCAUCUGUUUACUUCUUCCGACUAUUCAAUGACCAAUAUGUCCUGAAAAUUAGCUACUAUAUAUGAUGUACUAAAAUGUUGCUCAAUCAAGAGCUUUCUGUACACACACCUACCUAAUAUCUGUGUGUUUCUACUUAAGAUGAUGCUGGAUGUAGUACAUGCCUUUUUGUUAAUUCCAGCCUUAAGAUGUUGCUCUCGAAUUUAUAUAAAAAGUUAGUUCUAUAAUUGUUUUAUAAAGUGUACUUUACAUGAUAAUAACAAUUUCUACAGAGUAUUUUAAUGUUUUUCAAAUAAAAAGUAUGUGUUGAAAGUAAUAACAUUAAGUAUCUUUAGAUUUUGUUCAGUAAAUCACUGCAUAUAGAUGUAUGUCUAUUUGUAGCAUUUUAUAGUGAGGUAGUGACACAGGCAAGUAUGAGAUGUACCUUGUGUUCACAUAAGCAUUUCACAAGAAGGAAAAUACUACAAAGGUCUUAGUGCUAAAUCAUAGUAAUUUUAUUUAUAUUCAUUAUAUAUAUACUCCCUCUGUCCCAAAUUAAGUGUCUCAACUUAAGUUAGUACAAAAGUUGAGACACUUAUUUUGGGACGGAGGGAAUGGAAUACAUCUCACCUUGCAAUCUUGGCUCUUUCACUAUCAAUUGAGUACAUCCGAUAUUUUCCACUGUAACUAUACUGGAGAUAAACAUAAUGUUGAUAUACCCGUGAUUGAUAAAUUUAAGAAAAUAUGAGAGACCUGCACCUGCAAUAAUCAGGUUCAAUUGGCUUUUGAGAAAAUCUCUGGAAAGUGGAAACCAUGAUGCUGAUAUACCUCUGAUUGCAGUGUUGCAUAUUAGUACAUCUAUAUGCUCUUAUAUUUCUUUACGGAGGGAGUACUACUUUAGUAUACAGUCUUCACUAAAGAGGACAAAAAUCUACAUUCUUCCAACUUAGGUUUAUCUUCACUAUUUGUUUUCUGGUUCUAUUUUUCAGAUUAUAAACCACUUCUUUGGUUCGAAGGAAGAAACUCCAUUGCUGCUUAGGACUUGGUGGUGAGUAAGUUAAAAGGGCAUGGUAACUAUGACUAUACAUAACUAUGCAUGGCUUUGUUUUGAAACUACAGCUACAUGUUAGAUCUCGUACGGAAAUACAUGCACCAAGUAUUUCAUGUGUCGAUUGUUAAAAUAGGAAAACAUAAAAAAUGAUGUUAUGUUUUGAAUGGAACACACAAACUCAACUAAGUACAUUUGUGAAAUCCUAUGCAGAAGAGAAUAUAUUUUCAUUUAAGCUAGGUAUGCUGAUGAACACCUUGAAGAGGAUUGCUCUCACAUUUGAAGAAGUUUUAGCAGUCCACUGUUGAUGGGAUUCUGAAGGAAGGUUUGUUCCUACAUCUAUCUCUGUCAUUGGGCUGAACCGGCAAACCUAAGGGAACAUUAUAUUUAUAUCCUUGAUCGGAAGCUUGGGAAGGGCGAGGUUGGGAUAACAUACUUCUGCACUGAGACAAGUACAUCUGAGCUGAACGUUGUAGAGCUUGCAGGAAUUGUUGUCAGCACUUUGCCUAUGUGCCAUUCACAAGAAUAUUUUAUAAGUAAAAUAUUUUAGAGAAAUGAUGUGAUUCAAUAAAUUUCAAAUUUUUAAAUACCUACUUUUUAUUAUUUGUUUUAAUUCUACAUAUUUUCUGAAAUAUCCUUGAUUUUUCUAAAUUUUGGGCUUUUUCUAUUUUCUCAUUUGAUUUUAUCAUGCAUGGUGAGCUCUAGAUAUGAGGAGGCUAGCCAAGACAGGCAUGUGGUUAGAGGGCAGUAGUUUGCCCAGAGCAAGGAGUAAAUGAAGACGGAUGCGUGAGGCUGAGGCAUGAUACCGUUAGAAAGUACAUAUGUAUUAUUCGACGUAUGUGUUCAAGUGACUGUUAUUCCAUUUCCAAAUCAUGUGCUUUUGUCAAAACAAGUGGAGGGAGGUUAAGAAGUUCAUUGUCAUUAUGUCAGUAAGGUGAUGAAGAGGGUGGAUAUCGGUCUACAGACAUAGAAGAGUGAAGAUAUCUGAAGAAAAAAGAAGUAUUCAUAUUCUUUAUUCCAUGGCAACGCCACGCACAAUCAUGGUCAUUUUGACAUAUGGUGUCAGAAAAUGCAGAGCAAUAUGAGCUUGUCAUAGUAGCUAUUUAGUUGGAAGAAAACAUAAAUUGAAGAUGGACAUAUCUGAUGUGCCUGCUUGAUAGGAUGCUUAUUUAGUUAUGUGGAUGCAGUGAUGCUUCCUUUGUUGUGGAUAUGUGCUCUUUUUUUUUACAUUUUCUUGCUUCUUACUUGUCCAUCAGGCUACUUUGGUACAUUUUAGAGAGAAAUUUGUAACGAAGGGAGUACAUUGUAUAUGGAAGACGAUGUCAUACUAUUCUGUGGGGUGAGCACAUUAAGUGGGAGGGGUUGUCGGGGCUACAAGAGGGCUUAUCAUGGGUUUGUUGAUAGCAGCGAGCCACUAGCAAGGUUGGAUCAGCGUUGGUGGCGAAUAACAAUGAUGAGUGACGUUCAAAUUUAUGUUCCGUGGCAACCCACGGGCACUCAGCUAGUCACAUGUAAACAAAGAACACCUACCAGGAGCUAGCAGUCGUGAAAGUGAAAGAAGAAAGUAAUCUUCGAGAGAGCGUGAGACCAUUCUUCCGGCAAAAACAAAACGAGCGAGACCAUACAAUACAAACCAGCCUCCGUGUCAACUGCACGUCUACAAGAGUACGCCGGCCGCUGGACAAUCGACAGGGACGCGGCUCGACUGGAUAAACACCGCCGGCCCUGUCGCGUAGAUGCGAAUAGACCACAGCAGUACUGUGCCACACAAGAGCGCCGUGGUGGUAACUGGUAACUGGA